CAUAACUUUCCAAUUCUUUUGAGUAAAUAAAUGCCUAGGAGCAGGAUUUCUUGGUCAUGCUAGGAACUGAUUGCUGUGCUCACUUGUGACCACCCAGCUUGAGACAACAGAACUACCACCCUGCUGUGUCCACCAAGACAACAGACCUACUACCUGCUGUGUCCAUCAAUUGCUGUGCCAACAGAGCAGUCUCGUGACUAUCGUAAAAGGGACAUUUCAACCAUAUGUGAAACAUCCUCUUUGAGGAAUCUACUAUCCUCCAUGGAGACAGACACCGCCAAGGACAAGCACCUGGAUUCAUCAUCUGGAAAUACAGGCUGGUGGGAAAGCUGCUGACCAGCAAGAUCACGGACUCCCUCCUCUCUGCAAGUAGUCUCAAGGCCAAAGACAGCCUGGUGGGAAAGCUCUGACCAGCAAAGCCAUAUGCUCCCCUUCCCCUACCUAAAACCCCAAAUAAAACCCUUCCUUUUAGUUUUCUGGGGAGUUUUGGAUUUCAGCAUUAGCUGCCCUCUCUCCUUGCUCAGUGCUGUG
rnacentral:lncRNA from 1 species